rnacentral:rRNA from 1 species
CCUGAGAAACCCAAAAGAUCGAAUGGGAAGAUUCAUCGUCAAUAUGUUUAAUAUUAAUAUAUUUAAUGAUAUGUUAAUUUAUUAAUUUUUUAAAUUAUUAAAUUUUUCAUACAUUAUUAUAUUAUUUUAUUGUUUUACAUUGUCGGCGUGCACUUCUUCCCUAGUAGGACAUCGCGACCCGUUAGAUGUUGAUUUACGACCAAAUUGGUAAGUUUUUAAUUAACGUUAAAAAUUAAUUAAAAACCAAUUUGUGUUUUCUAAUCAAGUAUCUGACGGUAAUCGUAUGAUAUUAAGUCGCAUAAUAUAAUUUGCGUUCUUUACCCGUCGCAAGCGAGGCUUUUUUUAUUAGUUACGGAUAUUAUGCCGUCUAGUAAAAAUUUAGCCAGCUGUUGGCUGUUUACGGUGUUCUAGAACUGACUUACAAUAUAAUAUCUGUCGGCGAUGCUAUUGCUUUGGGUACUUUCAGG